UAGGGAAUCUUCGGCAAUGGGGGGAACCCUGACCGAGCAACGCCGCGUGAGUGAAGAAGGUUUUCGGAUCGUAAAGCUCUGUUGUUAAGGAAGAACGAGUGUGAGAAUGGAAAGUUCAUGCUGUGACGGUACUUAACCAGAAAGGGACGGCUAACUACGUGCCAGCAGCCGCGGUAAUACGUAGGUCCCGAGCGUUGUCCGGAUUUAUUGUGCGUAAAGCGAGCGCAGGCGGUUAGAAAAGUCUGAAGUGAAAGGCAGUGGCUCAACCAUUGUAGGCUUUGGAAACUGUUUCACUUGGGUGCAGAAGGGGAGAGUGGAAUUCCAUGUGUAGCGGUGAAAUGCGUAGAUAUAUGGAGGAACACCGGUGGCGAAAGCGGCUCUCUGGUCUGUAACUGACGCUGAGGCUCGAAAGCGUGGGGAGCGAACAGG
rnacentral:rRNA from 1 species